AUCAUACAACCAAUCCUUGGCAAGGAGAAAGAAACUCCUGCCAUUCUUAAAUGGAGUCUUGUGGAACUCCACACAAGAUUCAACCAAAUAAAGGACUUGAAUGACAUCGAGGGUAUUUUCAAAACUCCUAAAAAGCGAAAAACUACCAGGGAAGAGGAAGACACUGUUGAGAAGGGUAUUUUGAAAACAUAUAAAAAGAGAAAAACUACCGGAGAAGAGGGAGACCCUCUUGACAAGGUAUAAGAAUCUCUAAACAGUGAAUUAUGCAUUUCGGUUUUCGUUUCCUCCAAUGCAAUGCAGUUUCUAAUUAGUUUCUGUUCAAUAUGCAGGAAAAAGAAAAAGAAGAUGAUGAGGGACAACAAGGAGAAGCAGAGGAAGCAGAAAACCAAGGAAAACCUGAUGAUGCUGAUCAAACUCCAGAAUUAAAAGAGGCUGGAAAGAAGAAAA